AAAGCGCACUAAUGCAUGGUUAAAGGUCAAGAGGGACUACGUGGAAGGGCUAAGUGAUUCCUUGGACUUGGUUCCGCUUGGUGCUUGGUAUGGGAACGGAUGUUUGAAGAUGGAAAGAUUACGACUCCCAAGGAGGCUGAGAGAUUCCAUCAUUUGUUUGGAUUUGGUGCAAGUGUUGCU